rnacentral:rRNA from 1 species
UGGGGAAUUUUGGACAAUGGGCGAAAGCCUGAUCCAGCAAUGCCGCGUGUGUGAAGAAGGCCUUCGGGUUGUAAAGCACUUUUGUCCGGAAAGAAAUCCUUGGCUCUAAUACAGUCGGGGGAUGACGGUACCGGAAGAAUAAGCACCGGCUAACUACGUGCCAGCAGCCGCGGUAAUACGUAGGGUGCAAGCGUUAAUCGGAAUUACUGGGCGUAAAGCGUGCGCAGGCGGUUUGCUAAGACCGAUGUGAAAUCCCCGGGCUCAACCUGGGAACUGCAUUGGUGACUGGCAGGCUAGAGUAUGGCAGAGGGGGGUAGAAUUCCACGUGUAGCAGUGAAAUGCGUAGAGAUGUGGAGGAAUACCGAUGGCGAAGGCAGCCCCCUGGGCCAAUACUGACGCUCAUGCACGAAAGCGUGGGGAGCAAACAGGAUUAGAUACCCUGGUAGUCCACGCCCUAAACGAUGUCAACUAGUUGUUGGGGACUUCAUUUUCCUUAGUAACGUAGCUAACGCGUGAAGUUGACCGCCUGGGGAGUACGGUCGCAAGAUUAAAACUCAAAGGAAUUGACGGGGUCAUAGCUGUUUCCU